ACCAUCACCAUCACCAUCACCAUCACCAUCACCACCACCACCACCAUCAUCAUCAUCAUGAGAGUCUGUCUCGGAACCCCAGCUUCAUUUCUGUGAGAGUGGCUGGCAAGGUUGGCCCCUUGAAUGAACCCAUCUCUGCCCAUCAGCACAGGGGUUUCAGCUGGAGAAUCUUCAAACUCAGUCUAAGGAUCUGGUUUUACCUGAGGUGAGGUUCCUCGGAGACUAAGGGAACUUUUCAGCUUGGUGUAGGCAAUAAAGUAAUGUUGCGGCUGUCCCCGCUGAGGAGAGUGCUCUUAUGUCCAGCCUGGACUGUUUAGAUUUGGUUAGUGCUAUAUGACCAAAGAAAAAAUUGCUGUUAACUAAAAGGUUCCUUAUAAGAAAGCUGAAGUACUGAAAAUACUCCAUAACGACCAGAAUGAGAGGAGCAGAAAAUGGUGAGGUCAUCCUAACCAUGUGGAGGUGUCUUCUCAGCAGGUGAAAUAAUAAAACCAAGAACUUCCUGGAGGUCUAUUUGAACAGGUCAUGAGGUUCACAGUCUUCUAUCUGAUCCAAAAUGUUACCAAGACAUCAACAUUUGUUAAGCCAUUUGGUACUUUCAUGUUGGCCUGUUUAUGUCAUGGAAGCAAAUUACUGAACUGCUGAAUUCUAGGAACUGAGAAAUCAUUCUAAAGGUUUCCUAAGUCCUUCCUUUUCAUCCUUGUGCAAAUAAAAGAGAAAUGUCCACACAGGUCGCAUCACUCAUUGAGUCAACCCCUAAGGAGACUUUGUGUAUACAAUACACUAGUGAACUUCCUACCUAAUUCUAAUGCUCAUUCUGAUGUCUUCGUUCUGCUUCUGUGUUCUGCAGCCCAUGCUAGAUUUAUGGCGAAGUUUACAGUCACUAGGCUUUUCUGUGUUGGAACUCUCUGUGUUUAUGUAUGAGUGCACCAGGUAGGUAAAACCUGGGAUAACAAUGUCCUCAUUGUGGUGCCACAAUUA